ensembl:rRNA nuclear encoded rRNA 5S 191
AGUUCCAGCCAUACCACCAUGAGUACCCCUGAUCUCGUCUCAUUCAGGGAGCUAAGCAAGGUUUGGCCUGGUUAGUUCUUGGAUGGGAGAACAUGGAAGAGUAAAAGGUGUAACAG